rnacentral:misc_RNA from 1 species
GAUGAAGAACGUAGUGAAAUGCGAUAAGUAAUGUGAAUUGCAGAAUUCAGUGAAUCAUCGAAUCUUUGAACGCACAUUGCGCCCGCGAGUAUUCUCGCGGGCAUGCCUGUCCGAGCGUCAUUUCAACCCUCAGGGCCCGCCUGCUUCGGCAGGCGCGGCGCUGGUGUUGGGGAUCGGCCUAACCGCCGUCCCCCAAAUACAGUGGCGGUCUCGCUGCAGCCUCCCCUGCGUAGUAGCAACACUCGCAUGCGGAGCGCGGCGCGGCCACGCCGUAAAACCCCCGACUUUCUGAACGUUGACCUCGGAUCAGGUAGGAAUACCCGCUGAGCUUAAGCAUAUCAAUAAGCGGAGGA